GCAACAGCGGUGGUGCAAUGGUUAGCACGUAUCUCCAAAAAAGGUGAGACCUGGGCUCAACUCCCACUCGAGGUUGCA